rnacentral:rRNA from 1 species
GAUGAACGCUGGCGGUAUGCUUAACACAUGCAAGUCGAACGGACUCUUCGGAGUUAGUGGCGGACGGGUGAGUAACGCGUGAGAAUCUGGCUUUGGGUUCGGGACAACCACUGGAAACGGUGGCUAAUACCGGAUGUGCCGAGAGGUAAAAGAGAAAUUGCCUGAAGAUGAGCUCGCGUCUGAUUAGCUAGUUGGUGAGGUAAAGGCUCACCAAGGCAGCGAUCAGUAGCUGGUCUGAGAGGAUGACCAGCCACACUGGGACUGAGACACGGCCCAGACUCCUACGGGAGGCAGCAGUGGGGAAUUGUCCGCAAUGGGCGAAAGACUGACGGAGCAAUACCGCGUGAGGGAAGAAGGCUCUUGGGUUGUAAACCUCUUUUCUUAGGGAGGAACAAAAUGACGGUACCUAAGGAAUCAGCAUCGGCUAACUCCGUG